rnacentral:rRNA from 1 species
UACGAAGGGGGCGAGCGUUGUUCGGAUUUACUGGGCGUAAAGGGCGCGCAGGCGGCGCAUUUUGUCAGGCGUGAAAGCCCCGGGCUUAACCUGGGAACUGCGUUUGAUACGGAUGGGCUAGAGUUCGGGAGAGGAGAGUGGAAUUCCCAGUGUAGAGGUGAAAUUCGUAGAUAUUGGGAAGAACACCGGUGGCGAAGGCGGUGGUCUGGGCCGGUACUGACGCUGAGGAGCGAAAGCGUGGGGAGCGAACAGG